rnacentral:rRNA from 1 species
GAUGAACGCUGGCGGCGUGCUUAACACAUGCAAGUCGAACGAUGAACCGGGUGCUUGCACUCGGGGAUUAGUGGCGAACGGGUGAGUAACACGUGAGCAACCUGCCCCUGACUCUGGGAUAAGCGCUGGAAACGGCGUCUAAUACUGGAUAUGUCCCGUCACCGCAUGGUGUGCGGGUGGAAAGAGUUUUCGGUUGGGGAUGGGCUCGCGGCCUAUCAGCUUGUUGGUGAGGUAAUGGCUCACCAAGGCGUCGACGGGUAGCCGGCCUGUGAGGGUGACCGGCCACACUGGGACUGAGACACGGCCCAGACUCCUACGGGAGGCAGCAGUGGGGAAUAUUGCACAAUGGGCGGAAGCCUGAUGCAGCAACGCCGCGUGAGGGAUGACGGCCUUCGGGUUGUAAACCUCUUUUAGCAGGGAAGAAGCGAGAGUGACGGUACCUGCAGAAAAAGCACCGGCUAACUACGUGCCAGCCGCCGCCGUAA